GGGGAAUAUUGGACAAUGGGCGCAAGCCUGAUCCAGCCAUGCCGCGUGAGUGAUGAAGGCCUUAGGGUUGUAAAGCUCUUUUAUCCGGGACGAUAAUGACGGUACCGGAAGAAUAAGCCCCGGCUAACUUCGUGCCAGCAGCCGCGGUAAUACGAAGGGGGCUAGCGUUGCUCGGAAUCACUGGGCGUAAAGGGCGCGUAGGCGGACAUUUAAGUCAGGGGUGAAAUCCCGGGGCUCAACCUCGGAAUUGCCUUUGAUACUGGGUGUCUCGAGACCGGAAGAGGUAAGUGGAACCGCGAGUGUAGAGGUGAAAUUCGUAGAUAUUCGCAAGAACACCAGUGGCGAAGGCGGCUUACUGGUCCGGUUCUGACGCUGAGGCGCGAAAGCGUGGGGAGCAAACA
rnacentral:rRNA from 1 species